rnacentral:rRNA from 1 species
AAAAACAUUUCUAACAGAGUUUUUUGUUAGUAACACCUGCUCAAUGAAAAUUUAAUAGCCGCGGAAUAUUAACCGUGCUAAGGUAGCAUAAUCAUUAGCCUCUUAAUUAGAGGCUCGCAUGAAGGGUGAAACAUUUCAAACACUAUACCAAUUAAUUUUUUUAAAGCUAAACUAAGAAUAAAAAUGUUCUUAUAAAAAAAAUAGACGAUAAGACCCUUUUGAACUUUACUUCAGUUUAGCUGGGGCAGCUAAAAAAUAAGAAUCUUUAGACUACAUUUUGUAUAAAUGACCCUACAUAGUUGAUUAAAUGAACAAUGUUACCAUAGGGAUAACAGCGUAAUAUACUUUUAAAGCUCGUAUUUAAAAAUAAGGUUGCGACCUCGAUGUUGAAUUAGUGUAGCUACCUGGUGCAAUAACUUUAAUAGUAGGUCUGUUCGACCUUUAAAACACUACAUGAUCUGAG